GUCCAGGGAUGGGAAACGAACCCACAAUGUUCCGCUUACCGGGCAGAUGCCAUGUCCACUAGGUUACCCUGGA
rnacentral:tRNA from 1 species